UACGGAGGGUGCAAGCGUUACCCGGAAUCACUGGGCGUAAAGGGCGCGUAGGCGGCCUGAUAAGUAGGGGGUGAAAUCUUGCGGCUUAACCGCAAGGCUGCCUUCUAAACUGUCAGGCUAGAGCACAGUAGAGGCAGGUGGAAUUCCCGGUGUAGCGGUGGAAUGCGUAGAGAUCGGGAAGAACAUCAGUGGCGAAGGCGGCCUGCUGGGCUGUUGCUGACGCUGAGGCGCGACAGCGUGGGGAGCAAACAGG
rnacentral:rRNA from 1 species